CUUGCAGAUGCCCACUGACUGCAUCUUCAUGGCGUCUUGAGUGGUGUUGUUUACUAAUGCACUACUAAAGUCCUGUGUUUAAUAUCACUGUCUGUCAUUCUGCUAGUGCUUUAGAAACAGUGGAGUUAGAGCGAGGUGGGGGGGGUGCUCUUAGUCAACCAAGUGAGGGGAGUUCUUUACUCAUUAGUGACCUUAAGUCAUCAAUCAAGUACAAGGGAGGAAUGAAAACCUGCAGACACUCGGGCCCACCGUGGAAUGAGUUUGGCACACGUGAGUUAGAGCAUGAUGUCAGUGGGGAGAAGGCUGGUAGGUCUACCAUGUUAGUGACCUAGUGUGGUACGUGAGUUAGAGUAUGAUGUCAGUGGG
ensembl:lncRNA